AUGGGAAUUAGCAAUGAUAGAAAUUCACUACUCCCCACUCUAUUCACCUCUGAGAGUGCUCAACUUCAGUGUUACAUUUUCUUUUUCUUUCUUUCUCUCUCUCUCUCUCUCUCUCUCUUUUUAACGGCACCAAGAAGAUUGAAUAUAUUAACUCUUAGAAAAGCACUGUUGAUGCCAAAGUCAGGAAAUGCAGAUGUUAAAUUCCUAGUAAAAACUCAGAGGCUUUUUAGAUGCAAAGCUUGGUUGGGCCUUCACAGAUACCGGACAAGGAAAGCACACCUGGAAGCUGCAAGAGAAUUCAGCAUUUCCAAAUGUGUUUUCAUUGUGAGUUGGAGCAAAAUGCAAAUCUUUUGCCAUAAUGAGGGAGAAUGAACAGAAGAGAGCUGAAUAACGUUACAGAGGGCUUAUGUGAACAACACAACUGGUCAAUAAGAUAUAAACAACGUUUAAUUGGGAAGAGUACGGUCAUAUAAGAACACAACAUAACACGUUUGGGAGCAGGUAGCUGGAUUGCAAAAUAUCCACUCAGCUAAACUGAUACCACAAGUGGCGAUCUGGACAAAGCCCACAGGCCCAUUUUGCGGGAUGAAUAUGGAGAACUUACUGUUAUUCUGCAGUGGGAAAUUAGACAAGAGUGGUCUGGGAAAGGAUCUGGACAAAAGUGCUGUAAAACAGAACUAAGAGGCAUAAGUAGUCUUUGGAAUAAUACUGUUCUGGUUAAUUUUCAAGGAAAAAAUCUCUGUGGUGCUCCUUUAGGAAGAAACUGAUUUCUGUUGACAUAUUGUAUAGUCAGACAAAGACCAUACACACAUAUCAGCCAAAUUGUGGUUAAAAAAAAAAGGAGUCAUUUUAAUAUUUACAGGGCUCCCUGGCAGUAUGCUGCUUUUGUGUUUGAUGCCCAAACUUCUUCAGUCAAUGUAAUUCCCUAACACCUGUGUUGAGAUCUGCUAACUUGUAAAAGUAGCAUGGACCCGUUUCCAUGUUGCCUUUUUCUAAGAAGACUUGAACAUGUUUGCUCAGCUUUGCACCGCACCAGCCUUGUACUGUGAUAGGAAUUAACUUAUGAUUUUCUUCAAAUCUAAAGCCCACUUAAUUGUCCCUUAAAUGAGAGCCUAAUUGCCUGUAAGGAGCCUGUUGUGAUCUAUUCUUCCCCUUUUGAUGGUCCAUAAAGAAAUUGGACACAACUGCAACCCUCAGAUCCCUGGGACGUUGUUGUGCCUUUCAUUAGAUGUGUGGGGUGAGGCUGUUGCUCUCCUUUGGUGGCAGCAAGGACAGGCGGUGGCCCGACAUCCCUGGAUAUAUUCUCCCCAUGUGCAAGGGGCAGGACUAUCCUGCAGGCUCCCCUUGGGCUGGAGGACUCAGCAUCCUCUCU
rnacentral:lncRNA from 1 species